GUGGGCGUUAGGUGGUCAACAAGCCUUCCAAGCUGAAUACCCGGGUUCGAUUCCCGGUACCCGCUCCA
rnacentral:tRNA from 1 species